CCACCGCGGUUAGACGAGAGGCCCUAGUUGAUAUUUUAACGGCGUAAAGGGUGGUUAAGGACAAACAAAAAUAAAGCCAAAUGGCCCCUCGGCUGUCAUACGCUUCUAGGUGUCCGAAGCCCCAACACGAAAGUAGCUUUAACAAAUUACCUGACCCCACGAAAGCUGAGAAACAAACUGGGAUUAGAUACCCCACUAUGCUCAGCCAUAAACUUAGACAUCCAACUACAAUUAGAUGUCCGCCAGGGUACUACGAGCAUUAGCUUAAAACCCAAAGGACCUGACGGUGUCUCAGACCCCCCUAGAGGAGCCUGUUCUAGAACCGAUAACCCCCGUUUAACCUCACCACUUCUAGCCACCCCAGCCUAUAUACCGCCGUCGUCAGCUUACCCUGUGAAGGAGAUAAAAGUAAGCGAAAUGGGUACAACCCAGAACGUCAGGUCGAGGUGUAGCGCAUGAAGUGGAAAGAAAUGGGCUACAUUUUCUAUCACAGAACAUUACGAACAUGUACCAUGAAAUAGUGCUUGAAGGAGGAUUUAGUAGUAAAAGGGAAAUAGAGUGUCCCUUUGAACCCGGCUCUGAGACGCGUACACACCGCCCGUCACUCUCCCCUGUCAACACGCACUAAAAAUACUUAAUACAAAAGCACUGACAAGGGGAGGCAAGUCGUAACACG
rnacentral:rRNA from 3 species